rnacentral:rRNA from 1 species
UACGUAGGGGGCAAGCGUUGUCCGGAAUCAUUGGGCGUAAAGCGCGUGUAGGCGGUUCAGUAAGUCUGCUGUGAAAGUCCAGGGCUCAACCCUGGGAUGCCGGUGGAUACUGCUGAACUAGAGUACGGAAGAGGCGAGUGGAAUUCCCGGUGUAGCGGUGAAAUGCGCAGAUAUCGGGAGGAACACCAAUUGCGAAGGCAGCUCGCUGGGACGUCACUGACGCUGAGACGCGAAAGCGUGGGGAGCAAACAGG